AGUCAAUGAGCUUGAAUAAGCAUUUGUUUUGAAAACAAAAGAUAGAAAUAAAGGUUUCUAUUGACUU
rnacentral:tRNA from 1 species